UACGGAGGGUGCAAACGUUGCUCGGAAUCAUUGGGCGUAAAGCGUGCGUAGGCGGUCUGAUAAGUCGGACGUGAAAGCCCUGGGCUUAACCCAGGAAGUGCAUCCGAAACUGUCAGGCUUGAAUAUCGGAGAGGAUGACGGAAUUCCCGGUGUAGAGGUGAAAUUCGUAGAUAUCGGGAGGAACACCUGUGGCGAAGGCGGUCAUCUGGACGAUUAUUGACGCUGAGUGCACGAAAGCGUGGGGAGCAAACAGG
rnacentral:rRNA from 1 species